rnacentral:rRNA from 1 species
GACGAACGCUGGCGGCGCGCUUAACACAUGCAAGUCGAACGGAAAGGCCUGCUUUCCCUUGUGGAUUGCGGGUACUCGAGUGGCGAACGGGUGAGUAACACGUGAGUGAUCUGCCCCCAACUUGGGUAUAAGCCUGGGAAACUGGGUCUAAUUCCCGAUAGGACUGCAGGGUGGUGCCUGUGGUGGAAAACGAUUUUCUAGUGGUUGGGGAUGAGCUCGCGGCCUAUCAGCUUGUUGGUGGGGUAAUGGCCUACCAAGGCGGCGACGGGUAGCCGGCCUGGGAGGGUGGACGGCCACAUUGGGACUGGGAUACGGCCCAGACUCCUACGGGAGGCAGCAGUGGGGAAUAUUGCACAAUGGGCGGAAGCCUGAUGCAGCGACGCCGCGUGGGGGAUGACGGCCUUCGGGUUGUAAACUCCUUCCGACCGCGAGGAAGCCACCUGGUUGGAAGGGUGGUGACGGUAGUGGUAGAAGAAGCACCGGCUAACUACGUG